rnacentral:rRNA from 1 species
CCUACGGGUGGCAGCAGUGGGGAAUAUUGCACAAUGGGCGCAAGCCUGAUGCAGCGACGCCGCGUGAGCGAUGAAGGCCUUCGGGUCGUAAAGCUCUGUCCUAAGGGAAGAAUAAUGACGGUACCUUAGGAGGAAGCCCCGGCUAACUACGUGCCAGCAGCCGCGGUAAUACGUAGGGGGCGAGCGUUAUCCGGAAUCACUGGGCGUAAAGGGUGCGUAGGCGGCCGAUAAAGUCUGGGGUGAAAGGCUACGGCUCAACCGUAGUAAGCCUUGGAAACUUAUUGGCUUGAGUGCAGGAGAGGAGAGCGGAAUUCCUAGUGUAGCGGUGAAAUGCGUAGAUAUUAGAAGGAACACCAGUGGCGAAGGCGGCUCUCUGGACUGCAACUGACGCUGAGGCACGAAAGCGUGGGGAGCGAACAGGAUUAGAUACCCGGGUAGUC